rnacentral:rRNA from 1 species
CCAAGCCGUGAGGCGGAGCUAAUCCCUUAAAGCCAUUCUCAGUUCGGAUUGUAGGCUGAAACUCGCCUACAUGAAGCUGGAGUUACUAGUAAUCGCAGAUCAGAAUGCUGCGGUGAAUGCGUUCCCGGGUCUUGUACACACCGCCCGUCACACCACGGAAGUUGGGGGCGCCCGAAGCCACUUAGCUAACCCUUUUGGGAAGCGAGUGUCGAAGGUGAAAUCAAUAACUGGGGUGAAGUCGUAACAAGGUAUC